rnacentral:rRNA from 1 species
GAUGAACGCUGGCGGCGUGCUUAACACAUGCAAGUCGAACGAUGAAGCCCAGCUUGCUGGGUGGAUUAGUGGCGAACGGGUGAGUAACACGUGAGUAACCUGCCCUUAACUCUGGGAUAAGCCUGGGAAACUGGGUCUAAUACCGGAUAGGAGCGUCCACCGCAUGGUGGGUGUUGGAAAGAUUUAUCGGUUUUGGAUGGACUCGCGGCCUAUCAGCUUGUUGGUGAGGUAAUGGCUCACCAAGGCCACGACGGGUAGCCGGCCUGAGAGGGUGACCGGCCACACUGGGACUGAGACACGGACCAGACUCCUACGGGAGGCAGCAGUGGGGAAUAUUGCACAGUGGGCGCAAGCCUGAUGCAGAGACGCCGCGUGAGGGAUGACGGCCUUCGGGUUGUAAACCUCUUUCAGUAGGGAAGAAGCGAAAGUGACGGUACCUGAAGAAGAAGCACCGGCUAACUACGUG